rnacentral:rRNA from 2 species
UAGCAUACAAGGCAUACGGCUCAGUAACACGUAGUCAAUCUACCCUAUGGACGGGGAUAACCUCGGGAAACUGAGAAUAAUACCCGAUAGAUCAUUAUGCCUGGAAUGGUUUAUGAUCCAAAUGAAUUUCGCCAUAGGAUGGGACUGCGGUCUAUCAGCUUGUUGGUGAGGUAAUGGCCCACCAAGGCUAUAACAGAUACGGGCUCUGAGAGGAGAGGCCCGGAGAUGGGUACUGAGACACGGACCCAGGUCCUAUGGGGCGCAGCAGGCGAGAAAACUUUGCAAUGUGCGAAAGCACGACAAGGUUAAUCCGAGUGUUUCCUGCUAAAGGAAUCUUUUGUCAGUCACAACACCACCGACGAAUAAGGGGUGGGCAAGUUCUGGUGUCAGCCGCCGCGGUAAAACCAGCACCUCAAGUGGUCAGGAGGAUUAUUGGGCCUAAAGCAUCCGUAGCCGGCUUUGUAAGUUUUCGGUUAAAUCCAUAUGCUCAACAUAUGGGCUGCCGGGAAUACUGCACAGCUAGGGAGUGGGAGAGGUAGACGGUACUCCAUAGGAAGGGGUAAAAUCCUUUGAUCUAUGGAAGACCACCUGUGGCGAAGGCGGUCUACCAGAACACGUUCGACGGUGAGGGAUGAAAGCUGGGGGAGCAAACCGGAUUAGAUACCCGGGUAGUCCCAGCUGUAAACUAUGCAAACUCGGUGAUGCACUGGCUUGUGGCCAGUGCAGUGCCGCAGGGAAGCCGUUAAGUUUGCCGCCUGGGAAGUACGUACGCAAGUAUGAAACUUAAAGGAAUUGGCGGGGGAGCACCACAAGGGGUGAA